rnacentral:rRNA from 1 species
AGCUAAUACUUGCUUUAGCACUCUUGAUUAAGUUCUUGAGUGUGUACUUGUUAAGCCUUUUAAGAAAAAAGUUAUUAACUUAAGGAAUUAUAACAAAGAAGCAACACGUAAAUGGAUUUUCCAUUUUUUAGUGUGUAUCAAUCGAGUUUCUGACCUAUCAGCUUUUGAUGUUAGGGUAUUGGCCUAACAUGGCUAUGACGGGUAACGGGGAAUUAGAGUUCGAUUCCGGAGAGGGAGCCUGAGAAAUAGCUACCACAUCUAAGGAAGGCAGCAGGCGCGUAAAUUACCCAAUUCUAAAGAAGAGAGGUAGUGACUAGAAAUAACAAUACAAGGCCAAUCUGGCUUUGUAAUUGGAAUGAUGGGAAUUUAAAACCUUCCCAAAACUCAAUUGGAGGGCAAGUCUGGUGCCAGCAGCCGCGGUAAUUCCAGCUCCAAUAGCGUAUAUUAAAAUUGUUGCAGUUAAAACGCUCGUAGUUGAAUUUCAAAGAAUCGAUAUUUUAAGUAGCACUUUGUAGAUUAAUCCACAUAACUGAUACUACGUAUCGACUUUGUGCGCAUUUUUCUACUUAUGUGUUCUUUUAAUUAAAAUGAUUCUUUUUAAGAUCUUUCUUUUUUGCUCCGGCAUUUGAAGAUCUUGUUACUUUGAGUAAAUUAGAGUGUUCAAAGCAAACAGAUAUAGCAUUGCGCGUUUGAAUACUACAGCAUGGAAUAACAAAAUUGAACAAGUCAGAAUUUUGUUCUUUUUUCUUAUUUUGGCUUAGUUACGAUUAAUAGGAGUAGCUUGGGGGCAUUUGUAUUCAGAUGUCAGAGGUGAAAUUCUUAGAUUUUCUGGAGACAAACAACUGCGAAAGCAUUUGCCUAAAAUACUUCCAUUAAUCAAGAACGAAAGUUAAGGGAGUGAAGACGAUCAGAUACCGUCGUAAUCUUAACCAUAAACUAUGCCGACUAGGCUUUGGAUGAAAGAUUUUAAAAUAAGAGUUUUUUCUCUGAGGAGUUAAAACUCUUAGAUUGCUUCCUUCAGUGCCUUAUGAGAAAUCAAAGUCUUUGGGUUCUGGGGCGAGUAUUCGCGCAAGCAAGAAAGUUAAAAGAAUUGACAGAAGGGCACCACCAGGCGUGGAGCUUGCGGCUUAAUUUGACUCAACACGGGAAAACUCACUAGUUUAAGACAAGAGUAGGAUUGACAGAUUAAUAGCUCUUUCUUGAUUUCUUGGAUGGUGAUGCAUGGCCGUUUUUAGUUCGUGAAUAUGAUUUGUCUGGUUAAUUCCGAUAACGAACGAGAUCUUAACCUGCUAAUUAGCGGCAAAUACGAUAUAUUCUUACGUGGAAUUGCAUACUUAUGGUUUGUCCCUAUUGAGCUGCAUAAUAAUGAAGGAUCGUGAUUGCUUUUGUGUCAAUCUUUCUUAGUCGAAUCGUUGAUGUGUUUUGUAUAUCUCGUUCUUUCAUUACCUUGCAAUCACUCAUUUGCCUUAUCAUACUGUUUCUCUUUUGCGUAAGAAUGUAUUUGCUUGAUUGUAAAGCUUCUUAGAGGAACGAUGUGUGUCUAACACAAG